rnacentral:rRNA from 1 species
AAAAACAUGGUCUUUUGUUUAUAUAAAAGAUUUAACCUGCUCAAUGAGUAUUAAAUAGCUGCAGUAUUUUGACUGUACAAAGGUAGCAUAAUCAUUUGUUUCUUAAUUAGAAACUGGUAUGAAUGGUUGGAUGAAAAAUAUACUUUCUUUAUUUUAUAUAAAAAACUUUAUUUCUUAGUCAAAAAGCUAAGAUAUUUUUAUAGGACGAGAAGACCCUAUAGAGCUUUAUUAUAUAUAAUAUAGUUUAAUAUAAUUUAAAAUUUUUAUUAUAUUAUAUAUAAUUUCGUUGGGGUGAUGGAAAAAACUUUAUAACUUUUUCUUUUUAAGUCAUUUUAGAUGAAUAUAUGAUCUUUUUUUAGAAAAUUAAGUAUAAGUUACCUUAGGGAUAACAGCGUUAUUUUCUUGGAGAGUUCUUAUCGAUAAGAAAGUUUGCGACCUCGAUGUUGGAUUAGAGUUAGUUUUAGGGGUAAAAAAUUAAAAUCUUGGUCUGUUCGACCAUUAAAUCUUUACAUGAUCUGAGU